GCACGCCGUAUGACCUGAAAGGGUCAUGUACGGUGUAGAGCGGGGGAAAAGGUGGAGAUAACUUCAAAGCCUUACCUAUCGCUAU
rfam:Lachnospiraceae bacterium M18-1 genomic scaffold acPFy-supercont1.3, whole genome shotgun sequence.